AGCACAAAGUACGUGAGGAAGUGAAAGACUUGAGAGAGGUAAUAGUGCUGAAUCGUGAGAGAGCGAUGCGCCGUGCAUAUGCUGAUGUAGAUGCUGCUCGCUCCUGUCUCUGCUACUCAUCACAGACCUGGUCGUGUGAGCAGUGUUUGGCAGAUGUUAGUGGUGUUUCCUACUUUCAGUCGUCAGCAUCACUGGCUGAGUGGAAAUAAUCCUUGGAUGCUAAUUGGUUCGCUAUCUGUGAAUUGGUUGCUUCCUUGCGAUACUCACUACUCGGUCAGUGAGGAAGUGCGUUUGCUGGUCAACGAGCUUUCUAACUGUCAUUACCCUGCGCUUUUCGAUUCGUCGAGUGGCCAGGAUGUGGCUUUGAGAUUGUUCGCACUUAGUAAUCGCGAUGCUGGCUUCCAACGGUUGCCUCCGGCCCGUCUUGAAACACGGACCAAGGAGUCUAACGUAUGUGCGAGUGUGUGAGUGGCAAACUUAUACGCGUAAUGAAAGUGAGGCCGUAUGGCCAUGUUGGGGUCACCAACAACCGACCUUGAUCUUCGGUGAAAGGUUUGAGUAUGAGCAUAUCCGUUAGGACCCGAAAGAUGGUGAACUAUGCCUGAGCAGGGUGAAGCCAGGGGAAACUCUGGUGGAGGCUCGUAGCGAUACUGACGUGCAAAUCGUUCGUCAGACUUGGGUAUAGGGGCGAAAGACUAAUCGAACCAUCUAGUAGCUGGUUCCCUCCGAAGUUUCCCUCAGGAUAGCUAGAGUCUUUAUCAGUUUUGUCAGGUAAAGCGAAUGAUUAGAGGUUCCGGGGAAGUAACUUCCUCGACCUAUUCUCAAACUUUAAAUGGGCAAGAUCCAGUAGUUACUUAAUUGAACUAUUGGGGUCAAUGAGACGACUCUAAGUGGGCCAUUUUUGGUAAGCAGAACUGGCGAUGAGGGAUGAACCUAACGCUCGGUUAAGGUGCUAAACUGCUCGCUCAUCAGA
rnacentral:ncRNA from 1 species